AGGCAUCCCCGUUUAUUCUAAAAGUGAAACUGAUUGUGAACAUAAAAAUGUCAAUACUAAUAGAGAUACAUUAGGAUCUAUUUCUGAUGAUUACUGCACGAUAGACAGAUUAUCAUACUGCAAGAAUUUAACAGCAUCGAAACAAUCAACCAGAACUACAUUAGACUUUGAUCCGUACUCAACUAUUGAGGAAUGUUUACUUGACAAGGAAAUUGAUACUCUACUUGCAUAUGAAUAUGGAAAUCACGAGAAUACUAUUACAUCUAUUAUUAGAACACCAGUUAAAGACAGAUCAAAAGAUGACUUGCCUACAAAACUUGUUUCAAAACGUCACAGAGAUGGAAACAUAUACGAAAGCAUUGCCUGAUUGUAGCAUUAAUUUGUUUCUAUUUAGUUAUUAUUUGUAGUGUUCCUAUAUUGUUUAUACCGUUCUCCGGGAGAACAUGGAUAUUUAUAAGAUAGUCUUGCUAGCGUAUGCACAUUAUGUAGCGAAAGAGUUCUAGGAGUGUCAAGAUCAAUGAGUCAUACAAAAGAUUAUUUCGAACCAUUGUAAACAUUGUUGUCUGUCGGUAAGCGAAGAGACCCAUUCAGCCAUAUUUUUCUAUCACUGGACAUCGAAAGCGAUGUUGUCAUGGCGAGACGGUUGUCUCUUUCUCUAGAGAGUGACGCAUCGCUAGACACUGCAAUGUCCAGGUACGCGAAGAAGUCAACAACAAAGAGGAAGUCAUUUUUGUUAUAUUUGUGGAAUUGACUUAGUUUCGUAUUAGGAUUUCUGGAACGUGACCUGCUUUUUAAAGGUUGAUAAACGGACCAGACAGACCAAUACCUCAUUAAAUUAUUGGCGUCAGGUUAAAGCUCUUUCUAGAUGUAAGUAAGAAAGGUGCAAUAAUCCGUACAAAGAAGCUCAGUAGCUAUGAUUGUUAUCAUUUUAUUUAGCAUUUCCAAACAGAACAUUGUAACCUGUUGAAGCCAGCACAUAACAUUGGUUCACACUAUUCUGUUUACAGAAGUAAGCUGAUAGGCAGAUGUAUUUGACUUUUUUUUUUUUAGUACAUUUUUUCCAAAGCUUCAAUUCUACCUGAUUCAGUAUUAGUAUGGGUUGUAGUUUUAAUUUUACUUGACGCUUUUAAUAUUUUAGAUAUUUGUUAUUCAAUUUCAAUUUAUUGUAGGUUUCCCUCACGAGUUACUUAAAACAAACUUAAACAUUAUUUUUAUUUGUUUAGUCUUUAGUCAUAAUCAAAUUAUUUAUUGCAACACAAUGUUUUACGAUAAUGCAAAAGAAUUGCUAUCU
rnacentral:sRNA from 1 species